UACAGAGGUCCCAAGCGUUGUUCGGAUUCAUUGGGCGUAAAGGGUGCGUAGGCGGCGCGGUAAGUCGGGUGUGAAAUCUCGGAGCUUAACUCCGAAACUGCAUUCAAUACUGCCGUGCUUGAGGACUGGAGAGGAGACUGGAAUUUACGGUGUAGCGGUGAAAUGCGUAGAUAUCGUAAGGAAGACCAGUGGCGAAGGCGGGUCUCUGGACAGUUCCUGACGCUGAGGCACGAAGGCCAGGGGAGCAAACGGG
rnacentral:rRNA from 1 species